rnacentral:lncRNA from 1 species
AAAGGGCUUCUAACCAAGGGUCGGCUUAUUAAUUAUAGAAUCGCUAUGGACCCUUCAUGCCUGCUCGCUCUGUGAUGUUGCUCUUAAAACUUUUAACCAUCUCUUCUUUCAGUGCCCUUACUCCUUUCAAGUUCUUGUCUCGAUCUUAAGAUUUUGUGGAUGGAGAAGUUUUAGUCGUAGUUGGGCAGACAUUACACGGUUCUUGGGUUUCAGCACGAGUGGUAAGGUCCAGUUUCACCUAAUCCACCUGUCUUUUGUAGUGGUAGUCUAUAAUUUAUGGGCUGAGCGCAAUAAUAGACUGCAUGAUAAUAUUUCCCUCCCGCCCAAAUCUAUUGUGCAAAUCACUCUAAGUUUAAUUAAAUGUGCUAAAUUUCAAAAAAUUGAAGUCUAAAUUUAUUCAUUUGGCCUUUUAAGUUAACUAAGUUGGUUCCUGGGCUGCAGAUGUUGCUUUUCUUUAUACAUUUGUUUGUUUGGAAUAUGAUUCGCUGUAGUAGAAAUGGGUGUUUCUGUGCAGCUGUGUUGGAGCUGGUUUGGUUGUAUUUGUUAUGCUUGGUUCUAUCCAGUUCUAUUGUGGAUGAUUAAAUAGGUAUGGGCUGCAUGCUUCCUUUGAGGUGGUUCGGUUUGGAUGGAAAUGCCCUGAUGCUGUUGGGCGAUGUGUUGCUACAACGAUGUCGGGCUGGACGAUGUGCUGCUACUGUCGAACAAUUCUUCAUUGUACUGCUUGCUUUUAUAAUCAUUUGUAUUGGUGUUAAGUAAGAGAUUAGAUGUCAAAAUAUAAGUAUGGGGAUAAAAGAGGACAUGAGAAUUGGGUACAGAGGAUCUGCUCUCGUUCUACAUGGUCAUUCAUGAUGCCUA